GUUGAUUGAAUAAGUGGAUUUUUUUUUUUUUGGCCUAUGGUGAGUAAUUUGAUGCAAUGUUUUUUUGUUUGCUUGUUUGUUUUUGGUUUUUUUUGUAAGACUCCAUUUGAUGCUAUGUGGUGUUAUCAAAUGUGCUAAAAAGGCUGGUGGCGAUUAGAGAUUACAAUUAUGUUUUCCCAAAUAUCUCCUUCCAGAUUCUGGAGAAAUUAUUGACAUUUCAUAAUGGGCUCUUUGAAACUCUCCAAAAAGCAUUUUGGAGUAUUAUAGGACAAGCUCUCAAACUACUCAGAAAAUAAUUGGAGAUUUGGCAGGAGGAUUAUUUCCCAUUCCAGUUUUGGACUCAACUAGCCUUUGCCUGUGGGCGGUGGCUCACACCUGUAAUCCGAGCACUUUGGGAGGCUGAGGUGGGC
rnacentral:lncRNA from 1 species